UACGAAGGGUGCAAGCGUUGUUCGGAAUCAUUGGGCGUAAAGCGCGCGCAGGCGGAAUGGCAAGUCAGAUGUGAAAUCUCGGGGCUUAACUCCGAAAGUGCGUCUGAAACUAUCGUUCUAGAGUAGUGGAGAGGGCAGGGGAAUUUCACGUGUAGGGGUAAAAUCCGUAGAGAUGUGAAGGAACACCAGAGGCGAAAGCGCCUGCCUGGACACUUACUGACGCUGAGGCGCGAAAGCGUGGGGAUCAAACAGG
rnacentral:rRNA from 1 species